GACGGAGGAUGCAAGUGUUAUCCGGAAUCACUGGGCGUAAAGCGUCUGUAGGUGGUCAAAUAAGUCAACUGUUAAAUCUUGAGGCUCAACCUCAAAAUCGCAGUCGAAACUAUUCGACUAGAGUAUAGUAGGGGUAAAGGGAAUUUCCAGUGGAGCGGUGAAAUGCGUAGAGAUUGGAAAGAAUACCGAUGGCGAAGGCACUUUACUGGGCUAUUACUAACACUGAGAGACGAAAGCUAGGGUAGCAAAUGGG
rnacentral:rRNA from 1 species